rnacentral:rRNA from 1 species
GUCCUAGCCGUAAACGGUGAGCACUAGGUGUUGGAGGCAUCGACCCCUCCAGUGCCGCAGCUAACGCAUUAAGUGCUCCGCCUGGGGAGUACGGCCGCAAGGUUGAAACUCAAAAGGAAUUGGACGGGGGCCCGCACAAGCGGUGGAGCAUGUGGUUUAAUUCGACGCAACGCGAAGAACCUUACCCAGACUUGACAUGCACAGGACGGGUGUGGAAACACACCUUCCCUUCGGGGCCUGUGCACAGGUGCUGCAUGGCUGUCGU